GGUGCCCGUACCGCAAACCGACACAGGUAGGUAGGAAGAAGAUUCUAAGGCCAACGGGAGAAGGGUUGUUAAGGAACUCGGCAAAUUGACCCCGUAACUUCGGGAGAAGGGGUGCUCCAGAGAUGGAGCCGCAGAGAAUCGGCCCAAGCAACUGUUUACCAAAAACACAGGUUUGUGCUAAAUCGAAAGAUGACGUAUACGAGCUGACGCCUGCCCGGUGCUGGAAGGUUAAGAGGAGAUGUGCAAGCAUUGAAUCGAAGCCCCAGUGAACGGCGGCCGUAACUAUAACGGUCCUAAGGUAGCGAAAUUCCUUGUCAGGUAAGUUCUGACCCGCAUGAAAGGCGUAAUGAUUUGGGCACUGUCUCGACAGCCCGCCCGGCGAAAUUGUAGUACCGGUGAAGAUGCCGGUUACCCGCGACAAGACGGAAAGACCCCAUGGAGCUUUACUGUAGCCUAAUAUUGGGUUUCGAUGUUGCAUGCACAGGAUAGAUGGGACACAGGGAAACAAGUGCUUUGGCAUUUGUGGAGUGGCCGUUGGGAUACCAUCCUUGCGAUAUUGGAAUUCUAACCUGCGCCUUUGAAUCAAGGCGGGGGACAUUGUUAGGUGGGCAGUUUGACUGGGGCGGUCGCCUCCUAAAGAGUAACGGAGGCGUUCAAAGGUUCGCUCAGCUUGAACGGAAAUCAAGCAAAAGAGUGCAAACGCAGAAGCGAGCCUAACUGCGAGACUGACGGGUCGAGCAGUAACGAAAGUUGGAGUUAGUGAUCCGGUGGUAUGUGAGUGGAAAUGCCAUCGCUCAACGGAUAAAAGUUACCCUGGGGAUAACAGGCUGAUCUCCCCCAAGAGUCCACAUCGACGGGGAGGUUUGGCACCUCGAUGUCGGCUCAUCGCAUCCUGGGGCUGUAUUCGGUCCCAAGGGUUUGGCUGUUCGCCAAUUAAAGCGGUACGCGAGCUGGGUUCAGAACGUCGUGAGACAGUUCGGUCCCUAUCUGUCGUGGGCGCAGGAUAUUUGAUGGGAGCUGU
rnacentral:rRNA from 1 species